UUGGUGUCCUGUGGGGCUGGUUAGAAAGCAUCAGCAAGAGGCAUGUGCCAGGCUAAUGCAGUCUGGAGGCAGUUGACAGUCAAACUCGUGCUGCUGCCUGCUGCCUGCUGCCUGCUGCCUGCUGCCUGCUGCCUGCUGCCUGCUGCCUGCUGCCUGCUGCCUGCUGCAUUCUCUUGUAGUAUCUGGUUCCAUUCUUGUGAUAAAAAGCCAGUUGUCUUAUCUAGAUUCCAAUCCAAGGAAGUGGAGACAGCUAUAUCCAAGAUCAUUGCCCAAGGAAGGUUCGUACUUUCUCCCUACGGUUUAGGAACUGUUCAAACGGCAAAAAAGUGCAGUCCUAUGAUCACAAUAGCAAUAGCCAAUAUAAAAGUCCACAGAAUUUAAACAAAAGUAGUAUUGUCUGCCUACAAGCAUGUGCCUGGGGUCUCAAACCUCACUACUGAGAACCUAGUAGUGCGAGUUGUCUCGUUACAUAUCUUAAUUAUUACUCAGUUUCUGCCGCUGGUUUGCCGAGUGCUGACUAUAUUCAUCUUAAUUUCACAAUUUAAACAAUGAUUUGAGCAUGUAGGUAAACUUUCCGUGUAACCUUAUCUUUGACUCUUUCCAUAUUGUUGCAAGCAAUUAUGAGAUCUACGCGGCCCUUUAUAUUAUUAACCUCAGGUAGUACUUGUUGCACCUCCACCAUCUAUGCAUAUAUUUCUUCAUUCCAUUAAAGUGCGACUUUGGGAUGAUUACCAUACCUGCUGAUAGAAUUCUUGGGUAGUUCCAUGUGCUCAUUCUGCUAGUGCUAGUGCAAGUGGAGCUCACAUGAGACAAGAAAGUCCAGAAGGCAGAGAAUCUCCUUGCAGAACUUGUAGGGUAGACUAGGCACCUAGGGAUGGACAGGGGACGGAAUGGAACUCUUAAACCCAGAUUUAUGCUCCCCUAAACCUCCUUACUUUGGCCUGGCGAAGGUGUUUAAUUUAAAUCAACACAAAACAAGAGGAGUCAGAGAAUAAUGGGGUGUAUCAGGAGGGUUCUCGUGCUGAUUUGGAUGCUGCUUCUCAUGCUUUCAGGUCUCUUCCUGCACCAUCAGCAAAUCACAGCUGGUGCCAUUAGGAUGCAUGAUCAACAAAUAGUGACGGAAGGAACCAAGGGUAAGAGGCCUUGGUGGUGGGAUCAGGAUUAUGCUCGUGUACGUGACCGGAGGCCGAUAAAUAACAGGUUCAGUCCAUGAAUCGAGUUCAA